AUUAAAUAUGACAUGUUUUAAGGCGUUUUAUUAAUAAGUAAUGCGUGCAGAAAGAUCCGUUUGAAAUCAAGCAAAACGUUUUGAACGUAUAGCGAGGUUAAAGUAACUCUCUCACAAAUUAUAAUAAUACUGGCGGUGGAGUUUACAAAAUGUGUCUAAAUUAGGUCAAUUAAAUUAAUGUAUUCGAAUACUAAUCAGGAACAGACAUUUACUUAAUUGAAUAGACGUUUUAUCAAUUUAGGCUGCAUAUCAGUCAAUUUGCAAACUGCUAAAUAUGUAUUAUUUUGGAAAAAAGAAUGGUCGUAAGCCUAUCCUAGUAUGUACGAACGGUCUGUCUGUUGUUUAAACUUCCAAUGAGAAGUUACCAUUGUUUCAAGGACUUAUUACAGAUUAACGAUUUCAUUAUAUCAGAAGCUAUAAAACGUGAAUAAGCCACUUUAACAUUAGUGGUUAGAUGUAAAAAUGUAAAAAAAAUCUUCUUAGAAAUGUUUUUAAGCAUUAAAAUAAACAACAAGGCAGAAGUGUCCGGUGUUACCACUUUAAAUAUAAGGAUGUUUUCAACAAAAACAAACAACCAAAGACGAAUUCAGGUUGUUGAAAACAAUUUAAACACGUUCAAAAAUGAACACAGUUGCGGUGUUUCUGUUUGCCGUAUGUGCAGUGUUGGCUGAAGGCUGAUCAGUCAAACCCGUAUAAAGCUUACCUGCUACGUACGGAUCCCUUCCGUGUUUUUCCCGACUAAUCAUGUCCUUCAGAACGCAUGGAUCACGACCCUCCGUUCCAUCGGUGAUGUGGUAAACAUAUUGUGCAAGUCGCGCAGAAACUGGUUCGCCGUUGCGGGUUACCAUGCACCGCUUUAGUUCCGCGUCCUGUCUAUAGGGAAAGUCCACUGCCGUUCGUUUGAAGUGAUUAAAACAUUGAUGCCUUAAUGCCUCAAGAUCACUUUCAUUCGCAGCGUACUCACGUAAUAUUUGUUGAACACACAUGUCCCUGGAAGCUCGCGGUACAACUUUACAAGAGCUCGGUAUUUCUCCACAGCCCGGAAGUCCAUGUCUCCUGUAUAGCUUGCCAAGGCGACCAUCAGGAGUCAUGUGACCAAACAAUGGAUACGUCGGGUGACGAUGAAAUUCACUAUCAUCUUUAGUAUAGUUUACGCACGUCUGCUAGUCCAUUACAACAUAUAAACGUAGAUAGAAAUAUCCUUUUUAUUACUUAUGAAACGAGUAAUUGAUCAAAAGUCCGAGGGUUGAAAAUUGCGACUGCUUCUACGCGCAUUCACACCGAACAUUGCAAAUGAACUAUAACGUGCUCGGGAUUUCAUUGCAAAAUAUCGUAUGUAUAACUGAUAAACACUCUGAACUAAACAGAACAGAACAAAACAA